GACGAACCGUGCGAACGUUAUUCGGAAUCACUGGGCUUAAAGCGCGUGUAGGCGGGCCGCCGCGUCGGCUGCUGAAAUCCCCCGGCUCAACCGGGGAACGGGCACCGAAACGGGCGGCCUCGAGGGGGGUAGGGGGGCCUGGAACUUCCGGUGGAGCGGUGAAAUGCGUUGAGAUCGGAAGGAACGCCCGUGGCGAAAGCGAGGCCCUGGACCCUUUCUGACGCUGAGACGCGAAAGCCAGGGGAGCGAACGGG
rnacentral:rRNA from 1 species